UUUUUUUUUUUUUUUUUUAGGGCUGCACCUGCGGCAUAUGGAGGUUCCCAGGCUAGGGGUCAAAUUGGGGCUACAGUUGCCGGCCUAUGCCACAGCCACAGCAAUGCCAGGUCCAAACCACAUCCGAGAUCUAUACCACAGCUUAUGGCAAUGCUGGAUCCCUUAACCCACUGAGCAAGGCCUGGGAUCGAACCCGCAACCUCAAAGUUCCUAGGUGGAUUUGUUUCUGCUGUGUCAUAACAGGAACUCCGACACUAUCUUUGAUGGAAGAAAAAAAAAAAUAAUGCUAGCAAUCAGAACUGGAAAUAGAGAGUAAUUUACUUAGCCAACUAAUGAAUUCUCCCUGCUUAAAAAGAUUCAAGCAGAAGAGAGGAUUAUGGCUGCUGUAGAAUAAAUUCUUGCGUUGGGCGGCAAGUUGAACUAACAUAACCUUAGGUACCCUCCCAACUUUAAGAUUCUCUCAUUCUAUAAUUCAACAUGGCCUAGGGAUGCUUGCUUAGUGUCAUCAUAUCCAACCUCUCCCAUUACUUGGGGCAACCAGCCCAAAUAUGACAUCAGCUGAGAAGAUUUGAAGGAAGGGGAAAUAGAACUGGAGAAUUUAUGAGAACUAUACCAAAGCACCAAGCCAAAAUCUGAUUACUACAUCAAUGUGUCAGUCUUGAGAUAGCCAGCUUCCAACAAGUAGGAAGUUAAAAAAUAAUCUUCAGAUAAAGAGAACCAAUGAAAUUGACCAAAUAACAGGUUAACAUGAAACUUAGAGAAACUGAAAAAAAAAAAUCUUGAAAUAGGCCAUAGCGUUUUGGCAGAUGAAUGGGAAGGGCAGCCAAGAGUCUCAGAAUGGUACAGUCAGGGAAUGACUAAAGCAUAAGCCAGAACCUUGGCGGCUGCCACAGUCAAAUAUCUCUGAAUUGUGCAGAGGUUAAAGAAAUGGAAAGAUUUCAUGAAUGCAGCAAUUAAAGCUGAGAACAGAUCAACCCAAAUCUGGGGGGUGAGGGGUAAAAUAGGAAGAUGCUGACUGCCAGGAUAUCUCUAUCAAAACCCCAAAGACUAAACCAUAGAAGCUAAGCCAAUAGCCUAGCAAUCAUCAGCAGAAGCCAUUGGUGGUGGAGUAUUAUAACCCAAUUCCACUGUUCAAACUACUGGGAGAGGAAAUGUCUACUAUGUCAUUCGAAAAAAGACAAAGGAAAGUAACUAUUGUGGGGACUUUAAAAGUGGAACCCUUCAAAUGGAAAUAGAGUGAUCUCCAAGUAUGUAAUGAAUGAAACGUGGCACGGAUUUGCCUUCCCUUGGCUCCUUUGGAAGGUGCUUUGCUCAUUCUUUGGAGCCCAAAUUCCCUUUCAUAUGACUGUGUAGUCGGUCUCCAAUUUUGACCAUGGUAUGAUUACACAGAAAGAGCCCAGCAUGUUUAGGAGUUAUGUAAACUUUGGAGUUGGCCUAAUACCGAAGAAGACUAAAGAGGUCUAAAGAAUGUUCUUGCAGCUGAGACAUAGGGAGUCUCAGGAUCCAUCUGGGGGUUUUCCAGUGUUAAAAAUCUUUUGCUUUGUGUACCAAGAUGCUGAGGGAACUAAAGACAAUAAGAUCACCAGGUGGGACCUGCCCAGCACGGACAGACAUCUCCAAACUGCGGCAGAGGUCACGUUUUCAUCUUUGUGGAGACCGUCUCCACUCAUGUUGGCCCCAUUGCUUACCUUGAAGUGUAAAUGAUUAAAACGACGAGAAGGGAGCCAAUCUGAGGAGAAAAUUAUGAGAAGACAUCUAAAUAUGGAGAGGAGGCUUAACCUGUUAACAGUGUUUUGAGAGUUUACACCUUUAAACUUUAGCUUGCAAUGUCACAUGGUCUCCUGCAAUGAUGCCCGUGAUGUAAGUCAUAGAUAUUGUGUCCUUGCAGGUCACACGGAACAAUGCGACCAUUAUGGAGUCAAUUAAGCCUUCUAAGAUUCCCUAGCCAGGCUCUCUCCACCUUAUCUCUCAUGUCUGGAAAGCUGUGACACCUAAGGGGAGGGUCCUCAGUAAUAUUAAUAAAAGACCCACAACAAGAGAGACCAAAGACCCAUGGCCUCCUCAAGCAAUGCAACUUUAAAAUGAGAGGACACUGCCCUACAUUGCAUGAGGCAGGUUAUGGAAUUACACCAGUUUAGGCUGGAAUACUAUCUUCAUAUUCCUUAUUAGGGGACCCAAGCAAAGGACAUAACUCUGAGCUUUUUCCUAUAAAACAAGGAAAUAUCAUAUUGCUCCAAAGGCUAUAAUGAGGGUUAAAUGAAUUAAAAGUAGAGCACUUAACACAGUAUACUUUGCGAGCAGUAAAGGCUCAUUGAGCAACAGCUGUUAUUGUUGUUCUCUGCAAAGGCACAACAUAAAGGCAUCUUCGUCAAGAUUGUGAGAAUGUGAAAGGACAACCCUUCAUCACCCUCCAUAUCCUCCAAUGAGGAGCCAGUUGCUGAUUCAUCCCACAGGUCCCACUGACUGCUGUGCCCUCAGUGACUGCUGUACUUGAGAAGCAGAUACCAGCCAUUUAAAGAUGGGUAUUUAAAGAACGUUUUCUCCUACUCUCCAUUUCCUUGUUUGAGGCUUUAAUAAUGUCUAGAUUCCUAGAAUCCUGGCAGGUAAGAUAAAUUAGUAAGCAGUAUUCUGGUUUAUAAUUGUGUGUAGGAUAACAAUUUGCUACCCCAAGGGAAACUCUUUAAUUAUGGAUCUCUAUAUGGGAGCUAUUGCUUCAAGCCGGCUCCUUGUGGUUAAUAGUCUUGCAGGAUGGUUAAGCCAACAGUUUGACUGGUUUCUGAUGUUAAUUAGCUAAUUAGCUUGUUAAUUCAUUUAACAAAUAUUGACGAGUGUUUUCUAUAAACCAUGCACUGUUCUAGGUACCAGUCAUAGCACGUUCUAUAAAGAAAAACAAUGCAGAGGAUGGAGACAAACAGUGAUGGAGGGGGCAACGGCGUGUGCCAUUUCAAAUAAAGUGUCUUUUGAAAAGUAUGUGCAGAGGCUCCGAGACAAAUGUUCUGGGCACAUCUGAGGCCCAGCAAAAAGGCCAGAGUGGCUAAAGUGGCACGAGCAAUGGGAGCCAGGAGGAGGUGGGGUGAGCAAAGUGGUUGGGGGACAUUUUUAUUCAAAAUGACCUGUGAAGUCAUUAGAGGUGUUUAUGUGGUAGUCACAGGAGCUGACACAUUUUACCUGCAUCAUUCUGACCUGGCCAUCGCAUUAAGAAUAGAUAGAAAGGGGGACACAAACAAUCAUUACAGAGCAACAAUUAUUACAUCAUCUAAACAAGAGAUAAUGGUGGUUUGGGACUAGGAUGCUAGUAAUAGAGGUGAUAAAAUAUGGUCAAGUUUUGAAGGGAGAGCCAUUAGGAUCUGAAGGGAGAGUCAUAUUUUUAAGGGAGAGCCAUUAGGACUUGCUAAUUAAUUUGAAAUAGAGUACAUAAGAGAGAAAAGUCAAGGACAACAUCAAAGUUUUGCUUUGGGCACCUGUGAUGGUUAAUUUUAUGUGUCACCUUAACUGGGCUAUGGGAUGCCUGAACUUUUUG
ensembl:lncRNA